UACGUAGGGGGCAAGCGUUGUCCGGAAUCAUUGGGCGUAAAGCGCGUGUAGGCGGCUCGGAAAGUCUGGUGUGAAAACUUGAGGCUCAACCUCAAGGGUGUCGCUGGAUACUAUCGAGCUCGAGUCCGGAAGAGGAGAGUGGAAUUCCUGGUGUAGCGGUGGAAUGCGCAGAUAUCGGGAGGAACACCGGUGGCGAAGGCGGCCUGCUGGGCCGGAGGUGUAGCGAUACACCGUUAGCUGACGCUGAGGCGCGAGCAGCGUGGGGAGCAAACAGG
rnacentral:rRNA from 1 species